rnacentral:rRNA from 1 species
ACGAGUUAUCUGAACCUUCGGGGAACGAUAACGGCGUCGAGCGGCGGACGGGUGAGUAAUGCCUAGGAAAUUGCCCUGAUGUGGGGGAUAACCAUUGGAAACGAUGGCUAAUACCGCAUGAUGCCUACGGGCCAAAGAGGGGGACCUUCGGGCCUCUCGCGUCAGGAUAUGCCUAGGUGGGAUUAGCUAGUUGGUGAGGUAAGGGCUCACCAAGGCGACGAUCCCUAGCUGGUCUGAGAGGAUGAUCAGCCACACUGGAACUGAGACACGGUCCAGACUCCUACGGGAGGCAGCAGUGGGGAAUAUUGCACAAUGGGCGCAAGCCUGAUGCAGCCAUGCCGCGUGUGUGAAGAAGGCCUUCGGGUUGUAAAGCACUUUCAGUCGUGAGGAAGGCGGUGUAGUUAAUAGCUGCAUCGUUUGACGUUAGCGACAGAAGAAGCACCGGCUAACUCCGUGCCAGCAGCCGCGGUAAUACGGAGGGUGCGAGCGUUAAUCGGAAUUACUGGGCGUAAAGCGCAUGCAGGUGGUUUGUUAAGUCAGAUGUGAAAGCCCGGGGCUCAACCUCGGAAUUGCAUUUGAAACUGGCAGACUAGAGUACUGUAGAGGGGGGUAGAAUUUCAGGUGUAGCGGUGAAAUGCGUAGAGAUCUGAAGGAAUACCGGUGGCGAAGGCGGCCCCCUGGACAGAUACUGACACUCAGAUGCGAAAGCGUGGGGAGCAAACAGGAUUAGAUACCCUGGUAGUCCACGCCGUAAACGAUGUCUACUUGGAGGUUGUGGCCUUGAGCCGUGGCUUUCGGAGCUAACGCGUUAAGUAGACCGCCUGGGGAGUACGGUCGCAAGAUUAAAACUCAAAUGAAUUGACGGGGGCCCGCACAAGCGGUGGAGCAUGUGGUUUAAUUCGAUGCAACGCGAAGAACCUUACCUACUCUUGACAUCCAGAGAACUUUCCAGAGAUGGAUUGGUGCCUUCGGGAACUCUGAGACAGGUGCUGCAUGGCUGUCGUCAGCUCGUGUUGUGAAAUGUUGGGUUAAGUCCCGCAACGAGCGCAACCCUUAUCCUUGUUUGCCAGCGAGUAAUGUCGGGAACUCCAGGGAGACUGCCGGUGAUAAACCGGAGGAAGGUGGGGACGACGUCAAGUCAUCAUGGCCCUUACGAGUAGGGCUACACACGUGCUACAAUGGCGCAUACAGAGGGCAGCCAACUUGCGAAAGUGAGCGAAUCCCAAAAAGUGCGUCGUAGUCCGGAUUGGAGUCUGCAACUCGACUCCAUGAAGUCGGAAUCGCUAGUAAUCGUGGAUCAGAAUGCCACGGUGAAUACGUUCCCGGGCCUUGUACACACCGCCCGUCACACCAUGGGAGUGGGCUGCAAAAGAAGUAGGUAGU